rnacentral:lncRNA from 1 species
CCGAUCGACGAUUCGAAAGUCGCAACAUCGAAAACGAGCUGGAAGCACGGAAGGCUCCGUGCUUCCGAUAGCAUAGUAGCCUCACUCUCUCUCUCUCUCUCUCUAUAUAUAUAUAUAUAUAUGAGUUGGACUGGGCUACUAUUAGUUGCAAAAUCCCAUUGUUGCUACCAGUUUUUUAGCCUUUGGAUCAACUCUUUUCAUUAUUUCUAACCAUUGGAUUAAAUACUAUAACCCACUAGAGACCACUCAACCCUAGGGGGACCACUCAACUCUAACCAACUAAUAUCAUCCAUACCCUACAAUUUUUCAUCCAAGGGUUAAAAACUUGAUAGCAAAAAGAGCGUUUUACUAUUAAUAGUAUUCCAGCCUAAUUCUAUAUAUAUAUAUAUGAGUCCGGCUACUAUACUAUCGAUAGUAGCAAGCCCUUGGUAUUAUUGAGUUUUCUACCGUUAGAUCUACCCUUUGAUCAUUUUCACCCAUUAGAUUAUACUUUUAAACCAACCACCCACUCAACCCUAGGGAACCACUAUCAAUUUAACCGGGACCACUAUCAUCCCAACCGUACAUCUUUUCAUCCAACGGCCGAAAACUCAAUAGUACCAAGGGCUUAGUACUAUUGAUAGUAUAGUAGCAUAAUUCUCUAUAUAUAGAGUUGAGCUAGAAUACUCUCAAAAGCACCAAAUGAGUGGUGCUUUUGAGUUUUUAACCAUUGGAUGAAGAGAUGUAAGAUUGAGAUGAUGGUGGUAGGUGGUGGUAAAUAGUGAUAGGUGGAAUAGUGUAUGAUCCAAAGACUAUUAGUAAUCAAGGAGUAGAUCCAAGGGCUAGAAAUUUAGAACCACCAAGAGCUUGGUGCUUCUAAAAGUAUUCUAGCUCAAUUAUAUAUAUAUAUAUAUAUAUAUAGUCCUGCUACUAUAUGAGUACGGUCGCCUUCGUACUCAUAAGUUGUUUUCAAUGAUAGAGGUUCCAAAUUGCGAUCCAUACCGUUAAACGUUAUCUAGAACAUUUAAAGCUUCUCGAAAUCAAAUUUUAUAAUUUUUUGAUAUCAUUUACCUUACGAUCAAAAGCUCACAAAGUUGACAAUUUUUAACGGCCGGUAUGAGAUAUUUGCUAGUUUAAUGGUGUAAAAGAAUUAGAAUAGAUUGCAUUUUUGAUAGAAAAUUAUAUUCACUACCUAAAUAGAGAUCAAUA